GACGAACGCUGGCGGCGUGCUUAACACAUGCAAGUCGAACGGACGAGUGAGAUAAGUUUACUUAACUCACAAGUUAGUGGCGGACGGGUUGAGUAACACGUGGAUAAUCUACCUGCAACACCGGGAUAACGCUGUGAAAACGGUGCUAAUACCGGAUACGUUCCCUUGUGCGCAUGUAUGAGGGAAGAAAGCUCAGGCGGUUGCAGAUGAGUCCGCGGCUGAUUAGCUAGUUGGUGAGGUAAAGGCUCACCAAGGCGAUGAUCAGUAGCCGGCCUGAGAGGGUGAACGGCCACACUGGGACUGAGACACGGCCCAGACUCCUACGGGAGGCAGCAGUGGGGAAUCUUCCGCAAUGGGCGCAAGCCUGACGGAGCAACGCCGCGUGGGUGAAGAAGGCCUUCGGGUUGUAAAGCCCUGUCUUAUGGGAAGAAGUCAGUGACGGUACCAUAGGAGGAAGCCACGGCUAACUACGUG
rnacentral:rRNA from 1 species